UUACACAGAAUCAAGAUUAUGUGAGUUCCUCCUAUUGUUUUCACUUUCUGUAGCUUGCAUGUUUGUGUGGGCUGGAAAUGUGUGAGAACAAUGCAAUCUACAAAAACAAUUAGCUUCAUCAAUUGGAAGUUCUCAUCGAUUGGAAGUUGCAGGGGAUUCAGUCUCUGACUAAACUGAUUAACUAACUGGUGUAUCUCCUUGGCAUGAUGUGCAUUAGCUUCAUCAAUUACAAUGCCUUGCUAGAGCUUCUGCCCGUGUGUUUAUUUCAUACCACAUUCAAAGUUAAAUGUACCUGCGACGCCUCUUUUGGGACUGCUCGUGACGACCAUUCUGUGUUAUCCUGACAUGGCUUGCUAUGCUGUUGCGUCCGUGCAACUCUCUGUAGAAAAGACAGUAAAGUUGUCCACGCGUUGGACCCGAUGGGAGCCCCGGCCAAACCACUCCACCGCAGUUCAAUACCUGUCGCAGAUGAUCCAGACGCUGUCGUUUCCAAAGAGAACUCCCAAUGCGGUCGUGAAGAAGCUGUCGUAUAUAACAGUUGAUAAACAUGACAAAAAUUCUCCGCCGCUAUUUGGAGGACAUUAAACCUGGGAGCAGAGGAAGGAAAGCUUUAAGUUGAAUGCUACCAUGAAGAGAUGAUUGUACUUAUGGAAACUCAGAUGCCCUGCACCGCUGCCGGAUCAGGGAUGGAGCGAACUAAAAUCCAGAAAUAAGAGAGGAGUGGAUGCAGGAGGCUCCUCAGCGAUUAGAGCUUCUCGGCCGUCCGAUCGUUUUCUUGAUUGCGUUCUGGCCGUUGGAUCUCGGGCUCGGUCGUCGUGGGCCGUCGGAUAUUUACCCGGUCGUCUCCAACCUUCCGAUAUUUUCCCUAUGAGCCGUGUCCCGCCCGGCCGUGCCACCGCGCGUAAUUCCCGUGCCCCGCCGAGGGCAUUUUAGACAUUUCGCAUACCCCUUUAAAAACAAAGUAGCAGCCACUGGAAACCUAGCCGCUUCCUGCCGCACUCGCGCGGUCGCGCCCCCUUCCCCCUUCCCCCGUCCUCCCGCAUUCCAGCCUCCACCUCGCCGCCGCCACCAACACCAGGCGAUUCCGGCGAGUUCCGGCGGCCCUCGCCGGAGCGCAGCACACCCACGAGCUCCCCUCGUGACGGUGCUUCCUUUCCUCCGGCUAGAUCUGCUCCUCACGGCCGCAAGCGCUCGCGCGCGACCCAUCCCCGCUGCUAGGGCUUCGGCUGCCCCCAACUCUGGUGAGCAGCCACCCUCCUCCAUGGACGAGGACGACCACCACGGCCGCACAUGGUCGAGCUCACCGUCGUUUCCUCCGGUGCGGUGAUGGGCCAACGAGCUCCGCCUCCACGGCUCCUAGCUCGGGUAAGCAUCCCCAUCCCCAUGACCGUUUCACUUUCCAAA